rnacentral:rRNA from 1 species
CUCAAAUCAGGUAGGACUACCCGCUGAACUUAAGCAUA